CUUGUUUGGGGGACAAGGGACCCCCCUCUGCCCAAUGAUUUGAUUGGUAAAGUAUACGGAGGUAUACAUAGUACAUACCCUACCCCCCUCUGGAUUUGAACUUGUGACCUCUUAAGAGGAAACACAUGUUCUUAACCAUUAGGCCCACUCAGGCUGUAUUAUAACCUUAUAAUUAAGUACAGUCGACUCAAAACUAGUACAGACAAGGGGAAUCUGACUGUUGAAUUAAAUGAAAGCAUUGUGAUGGUCCCUGUGAAUGCUAACGCAAUGUGAUUUAUGGUCAGUACUCUGCAUGUCAAAGUGAAGAAAUUCAACCAAGCGCGAGUAAACGGUGGGAGUAAUUAUGACUAUCUUAAGGUAGCCAGAUGCCUCAUCAUCUAAUUAGUGAUGCUCAUGAAUGGAUUAACAAGAUUCCCACUAUCACUAUCUACUAUCUAGAGAAACCACAACCAAGGGAACAGGCUUGGCAGAAUCAUCGAGGAAAUAAGACAUUGUUGAGCUUGACUCUAGUCCGACUUUGUGAAAUGACUUGAUAGGUGUAGAAUAAGUGGGAGGCAUUUUUGGUGCAAGUGAAAUAUCACUACUUUUAACAUUAUUUUACUUAUUCUAUGGGGCAAAGAUGGGGAAUUACCUGUUUUUUUUGCCAUAAUACACCUUUCGGCAAGUCAAUCUGGGCGUAAGACAUUGUCAGGUGGGGAGUUUAGCAUAUAAUAAUGUAUUAAUAAAACACUAACAA
rnacentral:ncRNA from 1 species